GACGAACGCUGGCGGCGUGCUUAACACAUGCAAGUCGAACGGUAAGGCCCUUCGGGGUACACGAGUGGCGAACGGGUGAGUAACACGUGGGUGAUCUGCCCUGCACUUCGGGAUAAGCCUGGGAAACUGGGUCUAAUACCGGAUAGGACUCCUGGCUUCAUGGUUGGGGGUGGAAAGCUUUUGCGGUGUGGGAUGGGCCCGCGGCCUAUCAGCUUGUUGGUGGGGUAAUGGCCUACCAAGGCGUCGACGGGUAGCCGGCCUGAGAGGGUGACCGGUCACACUGGGACUGAGAUACGGCCCAGACUCCUACGGGGGGAAGCAGUGGGGAAUAUUGCACAAUGGGCGCCAGCCUGAUGCAGCGACGCCGCGUGAGGGAUGACGGCCUUCGGGUUGUAAUCCUCUUUCAGCUAUGACGAAGCGCAAGUGACGGUAGUAGCAGAAGAAGGACCGGCCAACUACGUGCCAGCCGCCGCCGUAA
rnacentral:rRNA from 1 species